rnacentral:rRNA from 1 species
AUUGAACGCUGGCGGCAGGCUUAACACAUGCAAGUCGAGCGGGGUGAUGGUGCUUGCACUAUCACUUAGCGGCGGACGGGUGAGUAAUGCUUAGGAAUCCGCCUAUUAGUGGGGGACAACAUCUCGAAAGGGAUGCUAAUACCGCAUACGUCCUACGGGAGAAAGCAGGGGAUCACUUGUGACCUUGCGCUAAUAGAUGAGCCUAAGUCGGAUUAGCUAGUUGGUGGGGUAAAGGCCUACCAAGGCGACGAUCUGUAGCGGGUCUGAGAGGAUGAUCCGCCACACUGGGACUGAGACACGGCCCAGACACCUACGGGAGGUAGCAGUGGGGAAUAUUGGACAAUGGGGGGAACCCUGAUCCAGCCAUGCCGCGUGUGUGAAGAAGGCCUUAUGGUUGUAAAGCACUUUAAGCGAGGAGGAGGCUCUUUUGGUUAAUACCCAAGAUGAGUGGACGUUACUCGCAGAAUAAGCACCGGCUAACUCUGUGCCAGCAGCCGCCGUAA